rnacentral:sRNA from 1 species
CUGUUCGCAACGCAAAUUCCAACUUCUACUCUCAGAGUAGUAAUGCUCUCUUUCCUCUUUGCUUGAAGUAACAGGGCAGCAUCUGCAGUCCGCUGCAGAACUGCUAGGGUUAAGAACUGGGAUGGUGACUCGUCAUCUUCUUAAUCCUCCGUCCUCACCCGGGAGCCAAGAAGAGAGCGACUACUGUAUGCUGUAUCUAUUUUAUCUUCCUAUUUAUGCUUCCGCCCUGUGAAGUGACACACGUACGCGACACGCUAUUCGCGAUAGAAUCACGGCAACGAUUUUACCUUACAUUUUUUUCAACACUAAUUACGAGCUACGAAGUUCGUAAUAGAUGAUGCCGUGAUUCCGCAUGGCAUGACUCUUCUGCGGACAGCAGCCCUCUGCUGCCUCGGGAUUGGAAAGCUUUAGGUGCUGCUUAUUCAUAACAUAUCUGUUCUUCCCACGUAUAAUGAGGAUGGGUGCAUCAGAUAUAAAUUUGAAAUGUCUUAUAACAAUUGUACAAGAUCGAGGAAGAAAAUGAGUAAAGCUAAUUAUAAUUAGUCACCCAACAAUAGGUGGAAGAGAACAGAGAAGAGGGCUUAAAGAAGCGGUGGUAGGAGGUGGUCAGGUCAAACGUAAUAAUGUCGCGAUGUCAUAACGAAGGCAGCCCAAGGAGACAGUGCUGAAGCGCAAGAAGGAUGAAGUCGGAUCAAGUCACUUGCCUUUUGGGGUGCAAGGUUAUAUUUUGCCUCUCCUACAUCGCUCAAUACAAUCUUUGCACCCAUCAUGCAACCUUCCCACCAUCAACAACGUCGUACUGUGGACGGAGCGCAGCAGGGCUUUUGGUGAUAGGAAAAAAGAAUGACAAGAGCAAUAGGCAAUUGCUCAAUGCUUGACGGUGAACUGAACAGAAUUAUGGAUCUUCAGACAUGUGGAAUAACAACAAGCUGUAAGAAGAUUGAUUUCUCAUAUCCCACAUUUUCUUCCUCUUGGUGUCGUUUCACACGGAUCCAGGGAUUAGAGGUUCAGGAACAUAUUAUUGUUGCCGCAUAUGAUCCAGGAACAAGGAACGCAAACCGUCAUUAAGUAAUGACUCUUCUGGCCAGCCAGGCACGGAUUGAUAUCUGCAAUCAGCUGUUAGUCUUGCAGAGCUGAGCGGCUGACUGCCGUUUGCCGUGCUUCUUCAACGUCCACACCCAUCUGCGCUCUGUCAUUCUGCC